AUUGAACGCUGGCGGCAGGCUUAACACAUGCAAGUCGAGCGGAGCGAGGGUGCUUGCACCUUAGCUUAGCGGCGGACGGGUGAGUAAUGCUUAGGAAUCUGCCUAUUAGUGGGGGACAACAUUCCGAAAGGAAUGCUAAUACCGCAUACGCCCUACGGGGGAAAGCAGGGGAUCUUCGGACCUUGCGCUAAUAGAUGAGCCUAAGUCGGGUGAGCUAGUUGGUGGGGUAAAGGCCUGCCAAGGCGACGAUCUGUAGCGGGUCUGAGAGGAUGAUCCGCCACACUGGGACUGAGACACGGCCCAGACUCCUACGGGAGGCAGCAGUGGGGAAUAUUGGACAAUGGGCGGAAGCCUGAUCCAGCCAUGCCGAGUGUGUGAAGAAGGCCUUUUGGUUGUAAAGCACUUUAAGCGAGGAGGAGGCUACUUAGAUUAAUACUCUGGGAUAGUGGACGUUACUCGCAGAAUAAGCACCGGCUAACUCUGUGCCAGCCGCCGCAGUAA
rnacentral:rRNA from 1 species